GUUAACGCUAGCGGUGCGCCUAACACAUGCAAGUCGAGCGGGAUUGAUGGAAAGCUUGCUUUUUAUCAUGAUAGCGGCGAACGGGUGAGUAAUAUGUUGGUAUCUGCCCUUAAGUCAGGAAUACCCCAUCGAAAGAUGGUUUAAUGCCGGAUACACUCUACGGAGUAAAGAUUUAUCGCUUAAGGAGGAGCCUUCAUUCUAUCAGUUAGUUGGUGAGGUAAUGGCUUACCAAGACUAUGACAGAUAGCUGGUCUGAGAGGAUGAUCAGCCACAAUGGAACUGAGACACGGUCCAUACUCUUACGGGAGGCAGCAGUGAGGAAUCUUCCACAAUGGACGAAAGUCUGAUGGAGCGACACCGCGUGAAGGAUGAAGGUCUAACGACUGUAAACUUCUUUUGUGGUCGAACAUUCGAUCACGAAUAAGCACCUGCAAACUACGU
rnacentral:rRNA from 1 species